rnacentral:rRNA from 1 species
GACGAACGCUGGCGGCGUGCUUAACACAUGCAAGUCGAACGGUAAGGCUCCAGCUUGCUGGGGUACACGAGUGGCGAACGGGUGAGUAACACGUGGGUGACCUGCCCUGCACUUCGGGAUAAGCCUGGGAAACUGGGUCUAAUACCGGAUAGGACCGCACCGUGAGGGUGUGGUGGAAAGUUUUUUCGGUGUGGGAUGGGCCCGCGGCCUAUCAGCUUGUUGGUGGGGUAAUGGCCUACCAAGGCGGCGACGGGUAGCCGGCCUGAGAGGGUGGACGGCCACAUUGGGACUGAGACACGGCCCAGACUCCUACGGGAGGCAGCAGUGGGGAAUAUUGCACAAUGGGCGGAAGCCUGAUGCAGCGACGCCGCGUGGGGGAUGACGGCCUUCGGGUUGUAAACUCCUUUCACCAUCGACGAAGGGUUUCUGACGGUAGAUGGAGAAGAAGCACCGGCUAACUACGUGCCAGCAGCCGCGGUAAUACGUAGGGUGCGAGCGUUGUCCGGAAUUACUGGGCGUAAAGAGCUCGUAGGUGGUUUGUCGCGUCGUCUGUGAAAUUCCGGGGCUUAACUCCGGGCGUGCAGGCGAUACGGGCAUAACUUGAGUACUGUAGGGGAGACUGGAAUUCCUGGUGUAGCGGUGAAAUGCGCAGAUAUCAGGAGGAACACCGGUGGCGAAGGCGGGUCUCUGGGCAGUAACUGACGCUGAGGAGCGAAAGCAUGGGGAGCGAACAGGAUUAGAUACCCUGGUAGUCCAUGCCGUAAACGGUGGGCGCUAGGUGUGGGUUUCCUUCCACGGGAUCCGUGCCGUAGCUAACGCAUUAAGCGCCCCGCCUGGGGAGUACGGCCGCAAGGCUAAAACUCAAAGGAAUUGACGGGGGCCCGCACAAGCGGCGGAGCAUGUGGAUUAAUUCGAUGCAACGCGAAGAACCUUACCUGGGCUUGACAUAUACAGGAUCGCGCCAGAGAUGGUGUUUCCCUUGUGGCUUGUAUACAGGUGGUGCAUGGUUGUCGUCAGCUCGUGUCGUGAGAUGUUGGGUUAAGUCCCGCAACGAGCGCAACCCUUGUCUUAUGUUGCCAGCACGUUGUGGUGGGGACUCGUAAGAAACUGCCGGGGUUAACUCGGAGGAAGGUGGGGAUGACGUCAAAUCAUCAUGCCCCUUAUGUCCAGGGCUUCACACAUGCUACAAUGGUCGGUACAGUGGGUUGCCAAUCCGUGAGGGCGAGCUAAUCCCGCAAAGCCGGUCUCAGUUCGGAUCGGGGUCUGCAACUCGACCCCGUGAAGUCGGAGUCGCUAGUAAUCGCAGAUCAGCAACGCUGCGGUGAAUACGUUCCCGGGCCU